rnacentral:rRNA from 1 species
UACGUAGGGUGCAAGCGUUGUCCGGAAUUAUUGGGCGUAAAGAGCUCGUAGGCGGUUUGUUGCGUCGGCUGUGAAAUCCCGAGGCUCAACCUCGGGUCUGCAGUCGAUACGAGCAAACUAGAGUGUUGCAGGGGAGACUGGAAUUCCUGGUGUAGCGGUGAAAUGCGCAGAUAUCAGGAGGAACACCGGUGGCGAAGGCGGGUCUCUGGGGCAACAACUGACGCUGAGGAGCGAAAGCGUGGGGAGCAAACAGG